CUGACACAUAUUAUAUAACAUCAGUGCCUGAAAGGUAUAAAGAAAGAAAGAUUGGAAUCACCAAGAUGAACACCCAACAAAAGGUUAUCAGGAGUGAUCAAACAGGUUUGAAAAAUAACCAAGUGGAACUUCUAAAAGGGAAAAUUUUAACUGAUAAAAAAAAUCAAUGUCAAUCAAUCAAUGUCAAUGGAUAGUUGAUUACACACAACUGAAAAUAAAAUUUGGGAACCCAAGAAUAACAGUCUGCUUAAAUUACCAAAAUGCAGUAGCCAGACAAGGAAACAGAAGAUAUAAAGGAAAAUGUAAGAGCUAUGGAGAAUAGAAUGAGAAGCUCUAACACAUAUCUGCUCAGAGUCUCAGAGGAGGGUGCAGAGAUAUUAAAGAGAGGUGACAUUUGAUGAGAUCAUAGCAGAGAACUUUCUAGAACACAUGGAAGACAGAAUUCCAAGACUCAGGAAUCUCAAUCCAUUCCAAGUAAAUGUGUUAAAUCCUCUCAGACAUCCUAUAGUGAAACUUCAAAAUUCCAAAGACAAAAAUGAUAUUUUUAAAGCAGCCAGACAAAAAGAAGAGAUAAUCUUCAAAAGAAUGGCAAUAAGAUUGAGAGCAAAGUUUUUAGUUCCAACGAUGGCAGCCAGAAGACAUGGAAUAGUGCCUUCACAGUGUGGAGACGCACUUCCAGUCGUCCAGAACUGUGUACUGCACAAAACUGUGUAUGCAGCAGGAGCAAAAACGAAACAAAGGUACAUUCAGAUACGUGUGGUUGGUGGCAAACCAGCAGACCUUUCCCAGGGGAGAUCGCAGGAGAGUGCAAGAUGCAAGAAGGAGUGGUGGGCAAAGGAGCUGAUAGACACGCAUGUAAAACUCACACGGGAUCCACGUAAGAAAUUCUGCUUGAACCGGAAACCGACUUCAGAAUUUCCCUUUUACAGGUCCCUGAACGCAUUGGGCGCCUGUAUGGAGAACCAGGUUGAGGCAAAGAGCAUCAGAAAGGAACCAAGUUCCCCCCUUUUAGAAGACUUUUCUCUGUGAUCUUAAGACAAAAUCCGAAGGGUGCCGUGUCUCCAACCAGCUCCUUAUAAUUCAGAGAAACGGUAGCAAGUCAUUUAAAAGGAGACCCAGCAUCUUUAAUAAAUUUAAUCCACGUCUGAUUACAGAGGAAGAAAGCUUUCUUUCUCUCUCUCUCUUUCUCUCGCUCUCUCCCUUUCAUCUUACAGGGCUGGAAUAUUGCAAUAAAU
rnacentral:lncRNA from 1 species